ACAUUGUUUCGAUAUAUAUAUAUUUGUGUGUGUAUGUGUAUAUGUAUAUACACAUAUACACAUAUACAUAUAUACAUACACACACAUAUAUAUAUAUAUACAUAUAUAUAUAUAUACACACAC
rnacentral:miRNA from 1 species